GUAAACGGCGGCCGUAACUAUAACGGUCCUAAGGUAGCGAAAUUCCUUGUCGGGUAAGUUCCGACCUGCACGAAUGGCAUAACGAUGGCCACACUGUCUCCUCCCGAGACUCAGUGAAGUUGAAAUGUUUGUGAUGAUGCAAUCUACCCGCGGCUAGACGGAAAGACCCCAUGAACCUUUACUGCAGCUUUGCAUUGAACUGUGAACCGAUUUGUGUAGGAUAGGUGGGAGGCAGAGAAGAGGCCACGCCAGUGGUCUUGGAGCCGACCUUGAAAUACCACCCUGAUUUGUUUGCGGUUCUAACCACGGACAGUGAUCCUGUCUUGGGACCGUGCAUGGUAGGCAGUUUGACUGGGGCGGUCUCCUCCUAAAGGGUAACGGAGGAGUACGAAGGUACGCUAGGUACGGUCGGAAAUCGUGCUGAUAGUGCAAUGGCAAAAGCGUGCUUGACUGCGAGAGCAACAACUCGAGCAGAUGCGAAAGCAGGUCAUAGUGAUCCGGUGGCUCUGAAUGGAAGGGCCAUCGCUCAACGGAUAAAAGGUACUCUGGGGAUAACAGGCUGAUACCGCCCAAGAGUUCAUAUCGACGGCGGUGUUUGGCACCUCGAUGUCGGCUCAUCUCAUCCUGGGGCUGUAGUCGGUCCCAAGGGUAUGGCUGUUCGCCAUUUAAAGAGGUACGUGAGCUGGGUUUAAAACGUCGUGAGACAGUUUGGUCCCUAUCUGCCGUGGGCGUUGGAAGAUUGACGGGGGCUGCUCCUAGUACGAGAGGACCGGAGUGGACGCACCUCUGGUGUACCGGUUGUCACGCCAGUGGCAUUGCCGGGUAGCUAAGUGCGGAAGAGAUAACCGCUGAAAGCAUCUAAGCGGGAAACUUGCCUGAAGAUGAGUCUUCCCGGAGGUUGAACCUCCCUCAAGAGUCGUCCGAGACCAGGACGUCGAUAGGUCAGGUGUGUAAGCGCUGUAAGGCGUUGAGCUAACUGAUACUAAUUGCUCGUGAGGCUUGAUCCUAUAACC
rnacentral:rRNA from 1 species